rnacentral:lncRNA from 1 species
AUAGAUCAGGUAAUGACAAUCCGGUCGAGACACAUGAGCCAACAGAGGAAGAAGAUUUCGGUGCCUAAUUUGACCCACAGUGUUGAUUUCUGAUCGGAUUUGGCGCAUUUUCUUGUUCAUCAGCUUACUGUCUUCAUCAGCAGUCAGCUCUUCAGCAUCUUUAGGGGGUUGAAUAAUCUUCUUUAUAGCAAUCAUUCUGCCAUUGCUUCCAGGUAAUUCAGCUUUAUAAACCUCUCCACAUCCACCUCUUCCUAUAAGUUCCAGAGAAGCCAACCCAUCUUCUUUUUCCAGGAAAGCCAAGUCCUCCUUCCUUUUAAUCAGAGAACUGAAAAUUGCUGGGCCUGAGUCUUUGCCUCCACCUCUUACCACAGCUAAGAGCAGCUUAAAAAGCAGAGAGAAGAUGAACCCGGAUAUGCUCCCAGCCAGAGCGCCAGCGAAAAAUCCGAGCAGCCACCCUCCUAGCUUCUUCUUGUUGUUCUUAUGCUUCUUGUGCUUUGGUGCUGGAGAUGGACCUGGAGCAUUAGAAGCUCCGCUCCCAGAGGGUGCAAGAGCUGCACCUGAAGUAUUGUUGUGCCUUUUUGUGCUCGAAUUCUCAGCCAAGAUGUAACGUUUUGGCACUUCAGAUGCUGAAAUCUCGACCCUUUUCAUUGUAGGCACUGAGCCUUCAAGGAGUUCAUUUCCAGCAAAGUUGAAGAUCCGAAGAUUGCGAAAGGAACGAAUGGAAGCUGGGAUUUUGCCAGAGAAGAAAUUGUCAGCAAUGGAAAGUUUUUCCAGGUUGGGAAAAAGCUUGAGGAAACUCA